UUUUUGUGAUGCUUCUGUUUCAGAAUGGUAGUAUUAUGGAAGGCCUGGCAUUGUGGAAGAACAAUGUAGACAAGCGCUUUGAGGGGGUUGAAGACUGCAUGAUCUGUUACUCUGUUAUUCAUGGUUCCAAUUAUUCUCUUCCGAAAAAGGCAUGCAGGACAUGCAAGAAAAAAUUCCAUUCAGCAUGUCUGUACAAGUGGUUUACCUCCAGCAACAAAUCAACUUGCCCACUCUGUCGUGAAACCUUCUUCUGAUAAAAUUAAGCCUAACAGCUCAAACUGUUCUUGUAUAAUUGUAAAUACUAUAUCUACCCAGUGGUGAUAAAAUAAAAAAUAAAUAAUGAUUGUUAUUAAAAGAACUAAGAUGCUAAAUCAAUGUUCCUAAAUGUAAUUUUAAUGCUGGAUGAUUUGGGAAUAGAAAUAAUCACACUUGCCAAAUAUUUAUGACAUUUAAGGUUUUAAUGUAGACAUGUCCUGUAUGCAGGGUUUUACAUUACAAUAGAAAUGCAUCUGUUACUCUCGGCAUUCUGUUUUCAAUAAAAUACUUGUUUAAAUA